GCCACGAUAAUUUUAAAUUUGAUCUCAAGCCUGGUAGAAGUCAUGUGAACAGUAUCUGAUUUUCUUUAAUAUAUAAUAUUCUAUUAUGGGAAGACGACAAUAACAAGAAUCACUAAGAUCUGUCCCAUUGGUUGGGAUCUGGCAUAUUGUAAAGUGUAGUUGAUUAAAAGGCACUAACAAUGUCAGUUUACCAUUUUAUUUAUUAAAUGUGUGCAAUAACAAAUGUAAGAUUAAUCAAGAUAGUAAGUAUUUUGUUUUCUUAGUAAAUGUUUUCAGGUUCAAAUCUGAGUUCAAAAUGAUUUUCAUGGCUAUAUAUAUCAAUAAGGGUAUUUUAGAGAAAACAUUGAUAUAAUCAUUAUAUAUGGUAUAUAUUCUACCUAAAACAUUGAUAUAAUCAUUGUGAGGGUUUGCUUCAAUGGAUUUGGAAGAGUGAUGAGUCUAGUUUUCUGGCAAUUGUUGAAUGUGAGAUAAGAAUUCCGUUGUUUUAGUUACAUAGUGGAAACUAGUUUAUAUAGCUUGAAAAAGGGAUUCUUACAUAAUUACAGGAUAUCCACAGUCACAAUUAACUAGUGUAUCACAACGGAUCCUAUAAUACUCUUAACUCAUUUAUUCAUAGAUAUUCUAACACUCUCCUCUAAGCUUGAGCAUAUAGACUGUAUGCACCAAGCUUGUUACAUAGAUAUCUUAUUCUAGGACCUGUUGAGGCUUUAGUUAAGAGAUCUUCCAACUAUUUAUUUGAAUUGACAUAGCUUGUAGUGGUCUUCAGAGAGGAUCUUGUGUUUAUUGUAUUGAAAAUCAAUCUCAAUGUGUUUGGUCCUCUCAUAAAAGAUUGGAUUAGAAAUGAUAUGCACAGCUGCCUGGUUGUCACAUACAAAUGUCAUAGGUUUGAUUAUCCCAAAUUGUAGUUCUGAAAGUUGUUUCAGCCAGAAGCUCAUGAGGCUAUGCUGUGGCACAAUAUUCUACUCCAUCACUAGACCUUGUAAACACAUCAUGCAUUUGACUUUUCCAAGAAAUAAUAUUGCCACCAAUGAGUACAUAAUAGCUAGAUUGGGUACGUUAUCAAUUGAACAACCUGCCCAAUCAGCAUCACAAUAUCCAACUAUCUCUUAGUGACCCUUAUCCUCAUAGAGAAGACCCUUACCCCAGGAGACAUACUUUUAAAAUGCAUAUCAAAAUAUCCUAAUGAUCUUCACACGGUGAAUGCAAAAAUUGAUUGGCUAGACUUACUACAUAGGAGAUGUCAAGACGGGUAUGAGUGAGAUUCAAUUCAGUUUCUCGAGUAACCACCUGUAUUUUCCUGGGUCAGUUAGAUAAGGGUUUCCCUUGAUUUGGCAGGUGAUUGACAUUGGGAUCCAUAGGAGAAUCAACGGGUUUGGCACCAAGCAAGCCAACUUCUUUUAUGAUGUAGAUAGCAUAUUUUCUUAGAGAGAACAAUAAUCUUUAGGUGAUGCAGCUUCAAUACCAGGUCUUUAAUCUGAAAGUGGUGACAUAGAUGUUGUUGAAGGCAAGUUAUACCAUCAUUAUCGUUCUAAGUUAUGACAAUAUCAUCCACAGAGUAGCCGUUUUCUCUCCAGAUCAUGCCAAAUUGUUGAACCAUAGAGGAAAAUCUAUCAAAGUGGACUCGAGGAGAAUCCUUAAGAUCAUGAGGUGAUUUGUGGAGCCGACAAACAAGGCGAAAACCAAGUAGAUUCCUCCAUAUAUAUUGUUUCAAGUUAUCAUGAUGGAAACCAUUUUUUAUGUGCAGUUGAUGUAGAAGCCCAUAAUGCAUGGGGGCCAUGGCAAGAAAGAGACAAAAGAGGUCAUCUUGGCUGAGAGAGAAAAAUGUCGCCAUAAAUCAAGCAAAAAAUCUGAGUAAAACCCUUGGCAACCCAAGUGUCCCUUCUCUGAAGCGCACACAUCCUAUCAAGAAGAGCAUGUCUCCACCCAGGAUGAUAUAAAGCUUCAGUUGGUGUUUUAGGAAUAGACACAGAAGCUGGAGAUGGCACAUAAGAAUAAUGUCCUGGAGACAAGCGAUGGUAGGAUAAAGCAACAUAAUGAGGAGAAGGGUUAUGGAUAAAGCGUAUACCUUUACAAAGGGCAAUAGGAAGGUCAAACUCGAGUGGUCGGCCCAAAAUUGGUAAAGGAGGCCUUGGUGGAGAUGAGUCUAUAGCAACUAGAACGAUUUCUAGAGGGUGCACCCAACUGGAGAUGAUUAAGGCUCUGUGGCAACAUGAGGAGGUAGUGGAAGGUUGGGUUGUUGGUGAUGAAAAUGAUCAUAAGGUGGGUGAUGCGGAGGCAGAGGUGCUAAGGUAGGGACGGAAGCCAUAGGUAAAGGAGGUAGGGGUAAGUCAUCAGUCAAGUCCUAUAUAGAAACAACGAUAACCCUUCUCAGACCUAGCAUACCCAAGAAAACGACAUUAAGGGAACAAGCAGAAAGUUUGUCAAUAUUUAGGGUAAGGUUGUGGACAAAAUAGGUAGACCCAAAGACAUGAGUGGUUAAAGAGUCAAUCGUUGUGUGAGGAAACAACACUGAGUGGUUGACUUUUGACCCAAAAUAGGAGGCAUACGAUUAAUGAGGUAACAUGUGGAAAGGACAACAUCUCCCCAAAAACGAGAAGGAACAUGAGAAUGUAGAAGGAUCCUGGAAGUUUCAACCAAAUGAUGAUUUCUCCACUCUGCAAUCCCAUUUUGUUAACAGUUGUGAGCACAAGAGGUUUGAUGGACAACAUGAGAAGCCAUGUACAACGAGAAAAAAAUCAUCUAUUAAAGUAACAAAAUAUUUAAUUCUUAAAGUAGACUUAGUAUGUCUACGAUCUCAAGUAUCAGAAAGAACUAAAAGAAAAGACCAAGCACGAAUACUGACACUAUUAAAAGAACUCUGGGUGUGUUUCUAUUAAGUACCUAAGGAAAGUGGAAAACCAUAACUUAAAAGCUAGCUGUAAAGGGGGAAGAACCACUCCUUAAUACAAAUCAGGCAUUCCAUACUAACCAAUGUGCGACUUUGGGCACCCCAUAAUACCUAAGCCCCUAACAAUAUACCACCCUUGGAGAGCCGAUGUCCACGGCGGCUUCACUCUAUCAACACUGACCCAGCGAUAGCCUCUUCGCUACGGGCUAACAGUAUUCGAUAUUCAUCUUAAUCCAGUCUAUCGGUAGCCCUUUCCAUGUCCAUUGGCAAUCAGGCUCUGAUACCAUUGUUAAGUACCUAAGGAAAGUGAAAAACCACACCUUAAAAGCUAGCUGUUAAGGGGAAAGAACUACUCCUUAAAUACAACACCAAACAUCCCAUACUACCUUAUGUGGCACUUUGGACACCCCAUAAUAGCCAAGUCUGGAACAGUUUCCCAAAUUGACAUGAUUCACAAGACAAACUAUAUUAGGUGGAAAGGCUAUUGAGCAUGGAAAGUGAGGAUGGAUAAUGAGGGGAUUGGUGGAGUGAGGCGAGCACAGCGGUGGGUAUGGUGGCGGAUGUGCAGGUGGAAGAUGCAGCAGUGGGUGGGCAGCGGUGAGAUCAGACAGCCCAUGGAGGUGCAUCGGAAGGCAGACGACAGUUCCAUUUAAGGGGCUGAACAGCUCCAUUUAAGGGGCUGAACAGCGCACGUGAGCAUGAGUCCCACGGUGUAGGCGGGAAAUUUUUUUCUCGAGAGGACAGUGGGUCCUCUUUGUGUACGCACUGAAUAAUUGUUUCUCUCUAGGCUCUAGACAUCAUGUUGAAUGUGAGAAGGAGAGAGACAUAAGAAUUCCGUGUUACACAUCGGAGACUAGUUUAUAUAACCUGAAUAAGGGAUUCUAGACAUAAUUACAAGAUAUAUACAAUUGAGUACCGUAUCAUAAAUUCAUAAUGGAUCUUAUAGUAUCCUAACUAAUUUAUUCACUCAUAUUCUAACAAUAUACACUUUAUACUUCAAGAUAGUGUAAAUGCUAGAGCAGUAGUCCCAUAUCUUUAUGGAGGUUUUUUUGAUAUAUUACUGGAUUCAGGAUAAGAUUUAACAGUGUAUUUGCCACUAAGUGAUUGUUCUCUAAGUGAUAUGUUUUGAAGUUGGAGAGA